CGCCGACGUAGUAGAACACCACCACGCGGGCGGAAGCGCUAUGACGACGACCCUCGAGACCGGUACCGCGAAAGCAGGUCUCACAGGGACCGUCGCUCCCCUGCUCCUUCUGGGUUACUCGUGCGCAAUCUCCCCCUUGAUGCUAGGCCGGAAGAUCUUAGGAUCCCGUUUGAGCGAUUUGGUCCUGUUAAGGAUGUGUAUCUGCCGAAGAACUACUACACUGGGGAGCCCCGAGGAUUUGGAUUUGUGAAGUUUCGGUUUGCAGAAG
rnacentral:misc_RNA from 1 species